rnacentral:rRNA from 1 species
UACGUAGGGUGCAAGCGUUGUCCGGAAUUAUUGGGCGUAAAGAGCUUGUAGGCGGUUUGUCGCGUCUGCUGUGAAAACCCGAGGCUCAACCUCGGGCCUGCAGUGGGUACUGGCAGGCUAGAGUGCGGUAGGGGAGAUUGGAAUUCCUGGUGUAGCGGUGGAAUGCGCAGAUAUCAGGAGGAACACCAAUGGCGAAGGCAGAUCUCUGGGCCGUAACUGACGCUGAGGAACGAAAGCGUGGGGAGCGAACAGG